rnacentral:rRNA from 1 species
AUGCAAGUCGAACGGUGAAGCAGAGCUUGCUCUGUGGAUCAGUGGCGAACGGGUGAGUAACACGUGAGCAACCUGCCCUGGACUCUGGGAUAAGCGCUGGAAACGGCGUCUAAUACUGGAUAUGAGAUGCGAUCGCAUGGUCGUGUUUGGAAAGAUUUUUCGGUCUGGGAUGGGCUCGCGGCCUAUCAGCUUGUUGGUGAGGUAAUGGCUCACCAAGGCGUCGACGGGUAGCCGGCCUGAGAGGGUGACCGGCCACACUGGGACUGAGACACGGCCCAGACUCCUACGGGAGGCAGCAGUGGGGAAUAUUGCACAAUGGGCGAAAGCCUGAUGCAGCAACGCCGCGUGAGGGAUGACGGCCUUCGGGUUGUAAACCUCUUUUGGUAGGGAAGAAGCCUUCGGGUGACGGUACCUGCAGAAAAAGCGCCGGCUAACUACGUGCCAGCAGCCGCGGUAAUACGUAGGGCGCAAGCGUUAUCCGGAAUUAUUGGGCGUAAAGAGCUCGUAGGCGGUCUGUCGCGUCUGCUGUGAAAUCCCGAGGCUCAACCUCGGGCUUGCAGUGGGUACGGGCAGACUAGAGUGCGGUAGGGGAGAUUGGAAUUCCUGGUGUAGCGGUGGAAUGCGCAGAUAUCAGGAGGAACACCGAUGGCGAAGGCAGAUCUCUGGGCCGUUACUGACGCUGAGGAGCGAAAGGGUGGGGAGCAAACAGGCUUAGAUACCCUGGUAGUCCACCCCGUAAACGUUGGGAACUAGUUGUGGGGUCCUUUCCACGGAUUCCGUGACGUAGCUAACGCAUUAAGUUCCCCGCCUGGGGAGUACGGCCGCAAGGCUAAAACUCAAAGGAAUUGACGGGGACCCGCACAAGCGGCGGAGCAUGCGGAUUAAUUCGAUGCAACGCGAAGAACCUUACCAAGG